AGGCCUGACCCCCAGUAACCAGGAGUACCACCUCUCUCCUCUUAUCUGCCGGUCAGUGAGCAGAAAUUGUGCUCCUCAGUGUUUUGGAAGCAGAAGUAACUGCUGUCUAUGGGCACACAGAGCUGGAAAUGAUCACGCAGUGCACAGAGGUACAGAGGAGCAGGGAGGAUCCGAUGCUUUGGGCUGCUGUGGCUCCGGGGCUGGACAGGUCAAGGGGGAAAACACACGGUAUCAUUUCUUUGUAUGGAUCUGGGGCGCAUGGAGCGAUGAACAAGGCAGUGAAGUUCUUAAAAGGCUGACUUCUUUCAAGAAUAUGCAUUCUGACUUACAAGUACCUGAAAUUCCCCAGGCUGUUGCCUGGCACAGCCCUCUCCCUGCGCUGCAUGCUAAGAGCUGUUCUAAAGCUUCCCAGCUGCGUGCUCUCCCGCAGCAUUUGCAGGCAGGUCACAGACAUCCCUUCAGUGGUUUCACGAAGCAGAAUGGCUUUUUCCUGAUGAAAUGCACAUUAUGUGCCUGAUUUUUGUUUGACUUUACUGCAGAUAUCCUGCCUGGCAAAGGGUUUUCUGGUUGUUAUUUAUUUCCCUUCAUUUUCUGCUAUAAAGCAUAAGAACCCCAAACACAAUAUUUUUAGAACCGUGGUGUUCUGCAGUGCAUUAUUGCUGAGACAUUUUGACAUUUAAACCAACAAACAGGACGAGUCUGCACCGCUCUGCCCAUCAAAGCAUUUAGAGCCCCUCAGAAUCUGAAGCAGCUGUUUAAAUGAAAGAUGAAUUUUGAUGUGUUGGGUUUCAUUGCAGUGCUGCAGGGAAAGGUGCUCUGUGCACACCAGUGGCGGGGCAGUCAGGGAGAGCCUGGCUUGGAAUGGGUUCAGACAGAAGGAAAAAUGUCCAAAUGGAAUUAUACACACCUGUGAGUUAUCAGCAGGUACAAAAAUGCAGCUGAGUGGCAGAGACCGAGGAGCAGCUGCUGGGGAGCAGUGAUGUGGGGCUGAGCAGUGACCCCAGCAGCAAAAUGCAGCCCAGGGGCAGCUCCACAAGGCAAGGCAAUGGCUCAGGCCCCAGCACUGCUUCCCAACCUCUCCUGCACAGCCAGAGGUGAGAGCUGAAGCACCCCACAACAAUGCUCAUAAGGAACGCAGGACUGAAAUCAGCUCCGACUUUCAGCACGUCCUUUGAAAGCUGAUUGCCAGACUCCAUCCGUGGGCGAGGUGGGUCACUCGCCGUCCCGCUGAGCAGCGCUGCUCGCCAGCAUCCCCCCGUCGGUGCGUGCAGGAGCGCUGAGCACGGAGCAGCUCUGCUGCUGGGAGAGCUUCGCUGCACGGGAUCGCUGGAGCCGAUGUGUUGGUGCCGAGGGGUGGCGGCCUUGCAGAGAGGCUGAGCGGCUCCUGAGCUUUGGUUGCUGCCGUCUGAUUGCUGGGCAGACGAUGAGCUCUGAGUGAGCUCAGCAGCACUUCACCUCCAAGCCAGCGCUGCAGGUGUGGAUUCAAAUGCGCAUUUCUGGCAAUGUGCAGCACUCAGCAAAAAGCCGUUUCCUUCAGUUCCUCUUCCCAAAGCAAAAGCUCAACGCGUGGGGAUGGCAAAGCAGUGCUGUUUGGUGACACGCUCCCGUCGGCGUUGUGUGCUUUCCCGACAUCUCCUUCAUUUGAGACUUUAUCCAAACUCAUUACGAGAACCAGAUUAAUCAAUGUGUGGAGCUUCAUUAACGACAUCUAUCUUAGAAGAGCUUUUGUGUCACGUAAGGGUGAAAUUCCUGUCUUGUCAAAGUCCUGAGUGGUUCCUCUUCUUCCCCAGCUUCAUCCGCUGCUCCUCCUGCCGUGUUCCUGCACAGGCAGGGCAGGAGGAUGGCUGUGACAGUCAGGACGUGGGAAGGAGCCAAGAGAGAAAGCUGCAGCUCAGAUCUCUGCAGCCUCGCACACGGAUGCGCUUCACACCGGUGUGUUUCACUGCACUGUGUAGGAAGCGAUGCACCUCAGCCGCCCACUGAAUUCCACGCUGCUGCUUUUCCCCCUUUAUUUCCAGUUAACUUUUGCCGUAUUUGCUUAACAGCACAGACGCUGCAGUUGUGCCUCGAAGGCACCCCUCAUCCAGAGGGGCAGCGCUGGGGGCCGUGGGACAGGUG